UUGCUCACCUCUGAAUCUUUUAAGGAUUCUUUCCCUGCUUUGGGUUACUUCCCAUUUCAAGACAUUUCCAGAGAAUAUCAGAAGAUUUAUAAAAAAAAACUGCAGUUUCUCAAGGAUAUGCUUUAAUAACUGCAGUCAUUUAUUCAGGUUUGGUUGUGCAUAACUGGCAUAAAUAUGAAGCCAUCCAGAGCACUACUGAUAGUGUUGUUAUGGUGUUGUCUUGGGCAUCCCAGCUCUUUUUUCUGCUUCUGCUGUUCCUCUUGAGCUUCCAUCAUAAAGGAUCCCCGAACAACAUAUAUACCUGUAUAUGCAUAAACAAUUUAUUUAGGAUAUUCAUGAUUAUGACUUGGUAUUCUUUGAAAAGUAUAGCCAAUAUUGUCCUGGGAUUUAUUUUGUUGCUGCCUCUAUGCUGGUUAUGUUUUCAGCAGGGGGUUCCAUGCUACAAGAGGUGAUCAUGACAGGCUACAAGAGGUGAUCACUUGAGGCAGCACCUAUGAUGCUUCACAGAAAAGAAGAGGUGAUCCACUACCGUAGGAUCUGCCAUUAAGAAUGUUGGUGCUAUCAAACCUUUUCCCCUCUUGUUGUGGACAUAAGGGAAUAUUUUUUUCCUUAUUUCAGGCAACGAAGGCAAAUCCUUAAUGCCAUUUUAAUUUAAUCUCAAUUUUACCAGGGACUUCACGUUUGCUUGGCGAUCAGUUUCAGAUUUAUAGGCCAUUCUCCAUUCAAAAGCCUGGUCUUCUAUGACUGGACAUAAACAAAACUUUGCAAUUUGUGCCAAAACCUUCUAUAGCAUUUUGUCUUUUGCAGUUUUGCUCUGGAUAUCAGUUCUGUGUAUCUUGGAGUUCCUAAGUACAGUAAUAUCAGUCUAUCUUCAUAAUGAAUUAUUGGAAGGUGAUAAAGAACGUGUGGCAUUGACCUGUGCUACUAAGUAUCUCCACAUUUUGUCUUUGACUGCAUGCUUUAAAUAUCUUGAUCAUUUACGUGGUACAGUAUUAGUUAUUUUGAUCAUGUUCACAUAUUUUUCAGUAAUUAUGCAGCUAUAUUUACACAUGAAUGCCUGAAAUUCUGAGUUAAUCUGUAUAUUCAAGUGGUAGAUUUGUUUUGUAAUUGUCACGGUGCCAUCCCCCUGCAGGUACAUGCUAGCAUGCAGUGGUGGUUGAGCAUGGGACAUUUGUUUAUGUUUUGGUUUCACUUCUUCUUGUCUUUGUUUUAAACAUGUCUUACUCAGGUGGUGUGUGUUCUGCCUCAUCGUGCACACCACCUAGGGGUUGUUAUGUCAUAAUAAAAGGAAAGAAAGACACUGAGUUAAUUAGUUCAUAACUUUCAACUCUUUUAUUUGGCUCAUGGCCUGUGUAUUUGAAUCUGUCAUUCAUAGACACAUUAGUAUUUUCCCCUAGAUGAUUUAUGGGCUAAUAUUCAUUUUCCAUAUUUUAACUUUACCUCUGAUGCUUAUGUUUCCCAGGAUAUUCAUUUGUUGUGAAAUUGCACAUUUUAUUCACUCCCAUGAGCUCCACUAUUAAUUUAACUCUUUUUCCUUCACACAUCUCGCUUUAACACAGAAUCGAAUUCUAUCAACACCAGGACUUGGCUAGUAUGGGGAUCUAAUUCUAAUGACACUGAGACAGAACAAUCACCAGGUUUCAGAAAUAUGCUGCUCUGUCUGUAACAAUAGCCUGAUGGUCAGAUCAGGACUGAUCAGGAGACAUCAGGAGACAUCCAACUUCAGCAGUUUCACUAUUGAGCUCCAAACUAAACCUCAUGGCAAUUAUAUACAAUUGUAUACAUGCUUGGGGCAGUCGGGCUCAUUUGUGUGAACUCCAUCUCAUUAAUAGCAGAACUGAUCCUGAAAACACGUGAGAAAUGGUGAACGCACACUGACGGAUCUGAGAGUGAUUCUUCUGCCAUCUGAAUGUGUCUUUGCCAUAUGCUGUCUUGCUUUAGCAAUAUCUGCAUUCUGGAGGAAGGAAAAAGAAAGAUUAAAAAACCACAUAAACUACUGGCGUCAUUUGUGCAGACGUACACAGACAUCAAGGGACCCACCAGUAGAAAACCAUGAAUUGGAGAAUCCUGCUGUUCCUGCUUCUCAGCAGAGGUCAUAGGAGGUCAUGCCCACU